rnacentral:rRNA from 1 species
GAUGAACGCUGGCGGCGUGCCUAAUACAUGCAAGUCGAGCGAACAGACGAGGAGCUUGCUCCUCUGACGUUAUCGGCGGACGGGUGAGUAACACGUGGUUAACCUACCUAUAAGACUGGGAUAACUUCGGGAAACCGGAGCUAAUACCGGAUAAUAUGUUGAACCGCAUGGUUCAACAGUGAAAGACGGUCUUGCUGUCACUUAUAGAUGGAUCCGCGCCGCAUGAGUUAGUUGGUAAGGUAACGGCUUACCAAGGCAACGAUGGUUAGCCGACCUGAGAGGGAGGUUGCACACAUGGGAAGAGAGAAAGGGCCCAGACACCUACGGGAGGCAGCAGUCGGGACUCUUACGCAAGGGGGGAGUGCCUGACGGAGCAACGCCGGGGGAGUGAAGAAGGUCUUAGGAUCGGAAAGCGCUGUUAUUAGGAAAGAAGAAAUGUGUAAGUAACUAUGCACGUAUUGACGGUACCUAAUGAGAAAGCCACGGCUAACUACGUG